UGGGGAAUUUUGGACAAUGGGCGCAAGCCUGAUCCAGCCAUGCCGCGUGCGGGAAGAAGGCCUUCGGGUUGUAAACCGCUUUUGUCAGGGAAGAAAUCCUCUGAGUUAAUACCUCGGGAGGAUGACGGUACCUGAAGAAUAAGCACCGGCUAACUACGUGCCAGCAGCCGCGGUAAUACGUAGGGUGCAAGCGUUAAUCGGAAUUACUGGGCGUAAAGCGUGCGCAGGCGGUUUUGUAAGACAGAGGUGAAAUCCCCGGGCUCAACCUGGGAACUGCCUUUGUGACUGCAAGGCUUGAGUGCGGCAGAGGGGGAUGGAAUUCCGCGUGUAGCAGUGAAAUGCGUAGAUAUGCGGAGGAACACCGAUGGCGAAGGCAAUCCCCUGGGCCUGCACUGACGCUCAUGCACGAAAGCGUGGGGAGCAAACAGGAUUAGAUACCCUGGUAGUCCACGCCCUAAACGAUGUCAACUGGUUGUUGGGAAGGUUCCUUCUCAGUAACGUAGCUAACGCGUGAAGUUGACCGCCUGGGGAGUACGGCCGCAAGGUUGAAACUCAAAUGAAUUGACGGGGUCAUAGCUG
rnacentral:rRNA from 1 species